rnacentral:tRNA from 1 species
GUCCCCAUCGUCCAGAGGCCUAGGAUCCAGCCCUUUCAAGGCUGAGACACGGGUUCGAAUCCCGUUGGGGACGCCA